ACAGCUCAGGGUGGAGGAAGCCGGUGAGGACAGUGAGACCAAGGGCUUGCUUCGGGGGCUGCCGGCCAAGGCGGCGGCUGGUGGUGGUUUCUGGCUUUGCUGUUCCAUUCCCUUGUCUUGAGGUCUCAGCCGGUUCUCGCUGAGAUGGCUACGUCAGUGAGGCCAGUCACUCCCGGUGCCACUGCCUUGGCAGAGCUGGUUUAGAACCACCGUGAAGGUCAUCGAAUGGAGCCCUCCACCCUGCAAUUGGCCUGCGGCCAUCCUUGAGGCCAUGUGGUCUUUGCAUGAGCACCCAGGAUGGUGAGGAACCUCCGCCUGCUGAGGCAGCCCACCCACUGCAGAAGGUGCCGCCAUGCUGCCAUUGCCAAGUACUUCGGGGAUGCGCUGCCUGCCUGCGCCAAAGGCUGCGACCACUGCCAGAACCCCACGGCUGUGCGGAGGCAGCUGGAGGCCUUGGAGCGCAGCAGCAGCUGGAGCAAGACCUGCAUCGGGCCCUCCCAGGGGAAUGGCUUUGACCCCGAGCUGUACGAGGGAGGCCGCAAGGGCU
rnacentral:sRNA from 1 species